GGCUUCUUGCACAACUUUUUCAGAUUGAGCAUCCAAAGCACUUGUGGCUUCAUCAAGCAAAAGAAUUUUUGGGUCUCUGAUUAUUGCUCUUGCUAUAGAAAUCCUUUGCUUUUGUCCUCCAGACAAUUGAACUCCAAAUUGCCCAACCUGAAGUAAAGAGUCAAUGGCAGGUGUGCGGUCAAUCAUUUCAAAUAUUCUGGUAGCAGCAUCAGUAGCCUGGGUGAUAAAAGAGAGAUUUGGAAGCGCAUUCAUAAUGGCCCUGAAAAUACAAGAUUGAAGCCGUUAGUUGAGACAAAUGAGGGGAAAAAGAGAGAGGAGAUUCCUAGGGAAAGGGAAGCAUAUCAGUUCUUGCAAAAGUCUUAUAACACACAAGAAACAUCAAGUGAUAGACAUGUGGUUGCAUACAGAAAUCGAAGAAGGAAAAGGAGUAUAAAGAAAAGUAACUUACAAUCCUCCCAGAAUUACACAGAUUCCAGAAAUAAAAACAAGACCACCUUUUUCUCCUCUCUCAGUAACAAGUUUGCUACCAACCCAAGCCUGAAAAGCCCAAACAGCAUAAAUCAUUCCCAUGCUCCCUAUGAGCAGUCCCUUUGUGAAACCUUGUUUUAUGCCAAGCUCUGUACUUUUUUCAAGAGCAAUGCUGAACUUUUUUAGUGUUUGAUUUUCCCCAACAUACGAAUAAACUGUACGGACUGAUGAGAUUGCUUGUUCUGCAAUCCCUCCAGCAACCCUAUAGGCACCGUUUGUCUCAGCUCCCAAAUCCUUGAGCACCUUCCCAAAUCCAAUUCCAGGAAUCAAAAACAUGAGCGAGAAUGGAAGAGCAGCCAGUGCCAGCCGCCAAGAAAGCACGAAGGCAACAGGAAAGCAGAAGAGGAAUGAUGAGAGGUGAGCCAGGCAAUUCGGUAUCUACAUAAAAGGAGAAAUACAGGUGAUCAAUACAUGUUUACAGAAUGAAGAAGAAAGAAGAAGAACAAGGCAUGCCAAAGCCAAUUGAAAACCUUUUCAGCUAUUGUGUCUUGGAUUAAAUGGGCAUCAGACGAGAUAGUAGAAAUGACUUGGAAGGUCAUGGAAGAAUUAGCUUGACUGUCAAAGAAGGCAACUUCUUGCCUGAGGACUGACUUUAAGUAUUCCAUUCUCAUCCGAGAUGUCUGUCUCUCAGCAGUUCUGGUCCAACAAAUUCCUUCUGCAAGUUACCAGUGUUGACAAGUAUAUAUAAUCAUGCAUCAUUGGAAA